AGUGAACGCUGGCGGUAGGCCUAACACAUGCAAGUCGAACGGCAGCACAGGAGAGCUUGCUCUCUGGGUGGCGAGUGGCGGACGGGUGAGGAAUACAUCGGAAUCUACUUUUUCGUGGGGGAUAACGUAGGGAAACUUACGCUAAUACCGCAUACGACCUACGGGUGAAAGCAGGGGACCUUCGGGCCUUGCGCGAUUGAAUGAGCCGAUGUCGGAUUAGCUAGUUGGCGGGGUAAAGGCCCACCAAGGCGACGAUCCGUAGCUGGUCUGAGAGGAUGAUCAGCCACACUGGAACUGAGACACGGUCCAGACUCCUAGGGGAGGCAGCAGUGGGGAAUAUUGGACAAUGGGCGCAAGCCUGAUCCAGCCAUACCGCGUGGGUGAAGAAGGCCUUCGGGUUGUAAAGCCCUUUUGUUGGGAAAGAAAUCCAGCUGGCUAAUACCCGGUUGGGACGACGGUACCCAAAGAAUAAGCACCGGCUAACUUCGUGCCAGCCGCCGCGGUAA
rnacentral:rRNA from 1 species